CUACGGGAGGCAGCAGUGGGGAAUUUUCCGCAAUGGGCGAAAGCCUGACGGAGCAAUACCGCGUGAGGGAAGACGGCCUAUGGGUUGUAAACCUCUUUUUUCAGGGAGGAAUUUUGACGUGUACCUGAAGAAUAAGCAUCGGCUAACUCCGUGCCAGCAGCCGCGGUAAGACGGAGGAUGCAAGUGUUAUCCGGAAUCACUGGGCGUAAAGCGUCUGUAGGUGGUUAAGCAAGUCAACUGUUAAAUCUUGAGGCUCAACUUCAAAAUCGCAGUCGAAACUGUUUGACUAGAGUAUAGUAGGGGUAAAGGGAAUUUCCAGUGGAGCGGUGAAAUGCGUAGAUAUUGGAAAGAACACCGAUGGCGAAGGCACUUUACUGGGCUAUUACUGACACUCAGAGACGAAAGCUAGGGUAGCAAAUGGGAUUAGAUACCCCAGUAGUCCUAGCCGUAAACAAUGGAUACUAGAUGUUGAACAGAUCGACCUGUGCAGUAUCAAAGCUAACGCGUUAAGUAUCCCGCCUGGGAAGUAUGCUCGCAAGAGUGAAACUCAAAG
rnacentral:rRNA from 1 species